UACGUAUGGUGCGAGCGUUGUUCGGAAUCACUGGGCAUAAAGCGCACGCAGGCGGUGGUGUAAGUCAGCUGUGAAAGCCCCCGGCUCAACCGAGGAACUGCAGCUGAUACUGCCUCGCUAGAGGGUGGGAGGGGAGAACGGAAUUCCUGGUGGAGCGGUGAAAUGCGUAGAGAUCAGGUGGAACGCCGGAGGCGAAAGCGGUUCUCUGGCCCGCUACUGACGAUGAGGUGCGAAAGAUAGGGGAGCAAACAGG
rnacentral:rRNA from 1 species